rnacentral:tmRNA from 1 species
GGGGCCGACCGGUUUUGACAGGAUGUAUGAGUGCGUACGCCAGCAUGCAGGCUCGUGGGAUGAGAGCCUUAAAAGAUAGUCCUACACCAUACUUGGCGAGUCUAACUACGCCUUGGCUGCUUAAUCUGACGAUACGUUAGAUAAGUUUAUCCCGAUUAAGAAUCGGGAGGCCAACAUCGCUCAUUGCCUUUGUUCUGCGGGUAGUGAAUAUGCGGUGUCGUUUGUCGGAACUGCUUUGCGUGAGGUUACUAAUCGCAACUAAGAUACAGUGACUAAGGAGGAGAUUAGGUUGUUGCCUGCCUUGCUGCUCCCGAAAAACAAAGUCAACUAAGCAUGUAGAACCUACGCGUUUAUCUUCUCUGGACCUGGGUUCAAUUCCCAGCGGCUCCACAA